CUUUUUGAGGAUUUGAUCCUGGUCCAGGAUGAACGCUGGCGGCGUGCUUUAGGCAUGCAAGUAGAGCGGGCCCCGCAAGGGGCAAGCUGCGAACGGCUGAGUAUAAGAUAGGAAUCUACCCAAUGGCUCGGAAUACCUACUCGAAAGAGUAGCUAAUACCGGAUGACCUCGCAAGAGAAAAGGGCUUAACUGCCCACCGAUGGAUGAGCCUAUCUCCCAUCAGCUAGUUGGUAGGGUAAUGGCCUACCAAGGCUACGACGGGUAGGGGACGUGAGAGCGUGACCCCNNNNNNNNNNNNNNNNNNNNNNNNNNNNNNNNNNNNNNUGGCAGCAACCGGGAAUCGUUGACAAUGGACGAAAGUCUGAUCACGCGACGCCGCGUGUGGGAUGAAGGCCUACGGGUCGUAAACCACUUAAUUCCAAGAGAAAUCGAGGAAGGAUGAAGUCGCUGCUAACUACGUGCCAGAAGCGUCGGUAAUACGUAGGCGACAAGCGUUAUCCGGAUUUACUGGGCGUAAAGAGAGCGUAGGUGGCUUUGUAAGUCAUUCUUGAAAGCGUUCCGCUCAACGGAAUUGUUGGGAAUGAUACUGCAAAGCUGGAGGGAUUGAGAGGUAGCUGGAACUCUCGGUGUAGGGGUGAAAUCCGAUGAUAUCGAGAGGAACACCAAAGGUGAAGACAGGCUACUGGCAAUCAUGCACCGCAAGGUGCUUACCUGACACUGAGGCUCGACAGCUCGGGGAGCGAAAGGGAUUAGAGACCCCUGUAGUCCGAGCCGUAAACUAUCCUUGCUAGAUAUUCCUUCCGCCAAGGGCGGAAGGGAAAUUCUAAAUUCAAAAUUCGAAAUCCCAAAUAAAUUCAAAAUCACAAAUUCGAAACUAAAAACAUUCUGUUUAGAAUUUGAUAUUUUGGCUAUUAGAAUUUAUUUGGAGCUUAGAAUUUAAACAUUAGAAUUUCCCUCCGCGUUUAGCGGAGGGAGUGUCGUAAGCUAACGCGUUAAGCAAGGCGCCUGGGGAGUACGGCCGCAAGGCUAAAACUCAAAGGAAUUGACGGGGAGGAGCACAACCAGUGGAGCGUGUGGUUUAAUUCGAGACGAAGCGAAAAACCUUACCAGGACUUGACAUUCAUCUUACACUUUUUUUGAAAGAAGAAAGUUCAACGGAUGAACAGCUGCUGCAUGGCUGUCGUCAGUUCGUUCCGUGAGGAGUUCCCUUAAGUGGGGUAACGAACGCAACCCCCGCUGUCUGUUAUAUAUGUCAGACGGAACUGCCCCCGCACUUGCGGGGGAGGAAGGAGGGGCGGACGUCAAGUCAGCAUGGCGCUUAUGUCCUGGGCAACACACACCCUACAAUGGAGCCGACAAAGGGUUGCUAAGCGGUAACGUGGAGCUAAUCCCAUCAAACGGCUCCCCAGUUGGGAUUGAGGCCUGCAAUUCGGCCUCAUGAACGAGGAAUUGGUAGUAAUCGCGGAUCAGAAGGCCGCGGUGAAUACGUUCCCUCCUCUUGUACACACCGCCCGUCAAGGCAGCAAAGUUGGCAAUGGCCGAAAUUCCCCGCUGAGCGGGGGACUAAGCCAGGGUCAGCGAUGAAGCUUAAGUCGUAACAAGGUAGCCGUUCUGGAAGGAGCGGCUGGAUCACCUCCUUU
rfam:Candidatus Woesebacteria bacterium RIFCSPHIGHO2_12_FTLL_46_16 rifcsphigho2_12_scaffold_40583, whole genome shotgun sequence.